GCGCUGUGUUGACUCAGUCGGUAGAACAGGAGACUCUUAAUCUCAAGGUCGUGGGUUCGAGACCCACAAUGGGCA
rnacentral:tRNA from 1 species